UAGAAGUUCAUUAAUUCACUCCCAGGCUUUUUUUUGUGCUGUGUCUUUUGCCUGUCAACAGGAGAUCCUUUUCAUCCCUCAACUUGAUGAGGAAUGGAAUCAAGCGGGAGAGGAGUGAGCUUCAAGCAAGUUCAUUUGCGGCUCGCUGCAUGCGUGGGUUUGUAAAAUAUAUAUUUUAUUUAUUUAU